rnacentral:rRNA from 1 species
GACGAACGCUGGCGGCGUGGAUUAGGCAUGCAAGUCGAACGGUAGGAUACCUUCGGGUAUCUGAGAGUGGCGAACGGGUGAGUAACACGUAGGUGAUCUACCCUCAAGAUUGGGACAACCCAGGGAAACUUGGGCUAAUACCGGAUGAAAGCAGCAGUGAUGUUGUUUGAAAGGUGGCGUAAGCUGCCGUUUGGGGAUGAGCCUGCGCUCUAUUAGUUAGUUGGCGGGGUAAAGGCCCACCAAGGCGAUGAUAGAUAGGCGGCCUUAACGGGUGGUCGCCCACACUGGGAUUGAGAUACGGCCCAGACUCCUACGGGAGGCAGCAGUCGAGAAUAGUCUACAAUGGCCGAAAAGGCUGAUAGUGCGACGCCGCGUGAACGAAGAAGCCCUUCGGGUGUAAAGUUCUUUUAUAUGUGAGCAGUGCUUUCUAUGUGAACAGCAUGGGGAGAGGAGAUAUUAGCAUAUGAAUAAGCAACGGCUAACUCCGUGCCAGCACG